GGCAGAGGUGGAACAGGAAAUGAAGGAAAACAGGAAGUAGUGAGCGGUUCUGUGACAGAAGGUCAGGAGGUUGUCAUGAAGAAUUUAGAGUUCAUCUAAUAUUACUUGUGUGUGUCAGUGUGAGUCUCCGUGAGUUUACUGUUGCGUUUUGUUUUGUUUGUUUUAUUGCCUCCUGAUUUACUGGUUCUCCAUCUGGAUUUAAGAUGGCUGCCAUUUAAUUCUCUUGUUAAACACAAGCACUCGGCGGUAAAAUUCCUGCGUCCUCGCUCCUCUUCUUUUUGACAGCGAUCCCCCCAGCAGUGUGGCACGACGCGAGAGGAGGCCAUGUUUCGGCCCCAGCGGUGGCCUGUGUUUUAUUUCCAUUGUGGAGAGAUCGUUUCCAGAAGACACUCUUCAAGGACGAUCUGUGGACUGUGACAAAGCGCCGAAGCCAGAGAGGGAGUUAUCAUCACUCAUGACACAUUAUUAUUAGUGUGUACUUUUUGCCCUGGUGGUCUAAUAAAGUAGAGACUCUGUUAAACACUAAACGCUAAUUGCUCAUGAAGAAGUGUGUGCAAUACACAAGUGAUUUAAAGUUUAUGUGUUUAUAAAGCUCAUGUAUGAUCCUGUAUGAUCCUGUAUGUGGCUGUAGAGAGUGUAAACAAUAUACAGAAUUUCUACAUGAAAAUACAAAAAGGAGUCAUUAAUAUGAAUAAACUGAAUCAUUUUGCUGUAAGUGAAUAAAUGAUAAUAAUUCUAUGCUGAGUUUAUUAGACAUACUGAUCUAAUUAUUAAGUCUUUAGGUUUUAUAUGUUUA